UGCCGCGUGUGUGAAGAAGGCCUUUUGGUUGUAAAGCACUUUAAGCAGUGAAGAAGACCAUAUGGUUAAUACCCAUAUGCGAUGACAUUAGCUGCAGAAUAAGCACCGGCUAACUCUGUGCCAGCAGCCGCGGUAAUACAGAGGGUGCAAGCGUUAAUCGGAAUUACUGGGCGUAAAGCGAGCGUAGGUGGCUUGAUAAGUCAGAUGUGAAAUCCCCGGGCUUAACCUGGGAACUGCAUCUGAUACUGUCAGGCUAGAAUAGGUGAGAGGAAGGUAGAAUUCCAGGUGUAGCGGUGAAAUGCGUAGAGAUCUGGAGGAAUACCGAUGGCGAAGGCAGCCUUCUGGCAUCAUAUUGACACUGAGGUUCGAAAGCGUGGGUAGCAAACAGGAUUAGAUACCCUGGUAGUCCACGCCGUAAACGAUGUCUACUAGUCGUUGGGUCCCUUGAGGACUUAGUGACGCAGCUAACGCAAUAAGUAGACCGCCUGGGGAGUACGGCCGCAAGGUUAAAACUCA
rnacentral:rRNA from 1 species